GACGAACGCUGGCGGCGUGCUUAACACAUGCAAGUCGAACGGAAAGGCCCCCUUGUGGGGUACUCGAGUGGCGAACGGGUGCGUAACACGGGAGUAACCUACCCUUGACUUUGGGAUAACUUCAGGAAACUGGGGCUAAUACCGGAUAGGAGCUCCUGCUGCAUGGGGGGGGUUGGAAAGUUUUGGCGGUUGGGGAUGGACUCGCGGCUUAUCAGCUUGGUGGUGGGGUAGUGGCUCACCAAGGCGUAGACGGGUAGCCGGCCUGAGAGGGUGACCGGCCACAUUGGGUCUGAGAUACGGCCCAGACUCCUACGGGAGGCAGCAGUGGGGGAUAUUGCACAAUGGGCGGAAGCCUGAUGCAGCAACGCCGCGUGCGGGAUGACGGCCUUCGGGUUGUAAACCGCUUUCGCCUGUGACGAAGCGUGAGUGACGGUAAUGGGUAAAGAAGCACCGGCUAACUACGUG
rnacentral:rRNA from 1 species